rfam:Lottia gigantea unplaced genomic scaffold LOTGIsca_6, whole genome shotgun sequence.
UCUGUCAGUGAUGAUUAUGUUAAUUUCACUAAAUUGAAAAUUAUUUAAUGAAAAUUGUAUACAUGCACCACCAUCUGAGACAGA